rnacentral:rRNA from 1 species
GGCGCACGGGUGAGUAACGCGUAGAUAACCUGUCUCGUGUCUGGAAUAAUACGCCGAAAGGGGUACUAAUACCGGAUAUUCUUGCUUUUCAUAAGUUAUGCAAGCAAAGGUGGCCUCUGCAUAUGCUACUGCAUGAAGAGGGGUCUGCGUACCAUUAGCUAGUAGGUGGGGUAAUGGCCUACCUAGGCGACGAUGGUUAGCGGGUCUGAGAGGAUGAUCCGCCACACUGGCACUGGAACACGGGCCAGACUCCUACGGGAGGCAGCAGUGAGGAAUAUUGCGCAAUGGGGGAAACCCUGACGCAGCGACGCCGCGUGAGUGAGGAAGGCCUUCGGGUCGUAAAGCUCUGUCAAGAGGAAAGAAGUGUACAGUGGCUAAUACCUGUUGUAUUUGACGGUACCUCUAAAGGAAGCACCGGCUAACUCCGUGCCAGCCGCCGC